rnacentral:lncRNA from 1 species
UCUUGCAAUCAUCUAAAAGAACUAGAUAAAACCUUGUUUACUACAUUAAUUAUAUCACUUUCCUUUUUCUGAUUUAAAGGAAACAUAGGGAGAAUUCGAGGUAGGUAAAAGAACAGAUACUGAUAGAACAAAAGGCUUGACAAGUUACUGAUGCUAAUCUUAUUUUCGAUAUCCAAUCCCCAUCAUCCCGGUGAGUCUUCGCCAUCUCAUCCAUGUUCCCAAUAUGAAUUGCUGAAAAAGUUGCAUGAAAUCAAACAUAAGGUUAAGUUCGCUUAGAAAUACACCAAGAACUUGAACAGUUCAGGAAGAUGGCCAAAACAUACCCAGCAGCCCUCCUUAAGCAUCUCACAAUUUCAGAGCUACAGCAUCUGG